UUGAUCCUGGGUCACGAUGACCGCUGGCGGCGUGCUUACACACAUGCAAGUCGAGCGAACCACUGGCACAAGAUUUCUCUCAGAAUGAUAUUUUAGUGACUGAGCGGCGGACGGGUGAGUAACGCGUGGGGAACCUGCCUCAUACCGGGGGAUAACAGUUGGAAACGGCUGCUAAUACCGCAUAAGCGCACAGAUACCGCAUGGUACGGUGUGAAAAACUCCCGUGGUAUGAAAUGGACCCGCGUUGGAUUAACCACUUGGCGGGGUAACGGCCCACCAAAGCAACGAUCCAUAGCCCGGCCUGACAGGGCGACAGGCCACGUUGGGACUGAGACACGGGCCAGACUCCUGCGGGAGGCAGCAGUGGGGAAUAUUGCACAAUGGAGGGAACUCUGAUGCAGCGACGCCGCGUGAGUGAAGAAGUAUUUCGGUAUGUAAAGCUGUAUCAGCAGGGAAGAAGAUGACGGUACCUGACUAAGAAGCCCCGGCUAACUACGUGCCAGCAGCCGCGGUAAUACGUAGGGGGCAAUCGUUAUCCGGAUUUAUUGGGUGUAAAGGGAGCGUAGACGGCGGUGCAAGUCUGAAGUGAAAGGCGGGGGCUCAACUCCCGGAUUGCUUUGGAAACUGCAUGGCUAGAGUACCGGAGGGGUAAGCGGAAUUCCUGGUGUAGCGGUGAAAUGCGUAGAUAUCAGGAGGAACACCGGUGGCGAAGGCGGCUUACUGGACGGCAACUGACGUUGAGGCUCGAAAGCGUGGGGAGCAAACAGGAUUAGAUUACCCUGGUAGUCCACGCCGUAAACGAUGAGUACUAGGUGUCGGCAGGGAAGCCCUGUCGGUGCCGCCGCAAACGCAUUAAGUAUUCCACCUGGGGAGUACGUUCGCAAGAAUGAAACUCAAAGGAAUUGACGGGGACCCGCACAAGCGGUGGAGCAUGUGGUUUAAUUCGAAGCAACGCGAAGAACCUUACCAAAUCUUGACAUCCUUCUGACCGGUCCGUAACGGGAUCUUUCCUUCGGGACAGAAGAGACAGGUGGUGCAUGGUUGUCGUCAGCUCGUGUCGUGAGAUGUUGGGUUAAGUCCCGCAACGAGCGCAACCCUUAUCCCCAGUAGCCAGCAGGUAAAGCUGGGCACUCUGAGGAGACUGCCAGGGAGAGCCUGGAGGAAGGCGGGGAUGACGUCAAAUCAUCAUGCCCCUUAUGAUUUGGGCUACACACGUGCUACAAUGGCGUGAACAGAGGGAAGCAGAGCCGCGAGGCCGAGCGAAUCUCAAAAAACGCGUCCCAGUUCGGACUGUAGUCUGCAACCCGACUACACGAAGCUGGAAUCGCUAGUAAUCGCAGAUCAGAAUGCUGCGGUGAAUACGUUCCCGGGUCUUGCACUCACCGCCCGUCA
rnacentral:rRNA from 1 species